UCAGCAGCAACAAGAAAGCGUUCAAGUUGCAAGCUUAUUUGAGCGCUGAUACAAUGCUGCUAUACUAUAAUCAAGAUGCUAAGAACAGUUCAGUUUUGCGUAGUCUAUAAUCUGUUCUACACGUGGCAUUACAUAU
rfam:Drosophila grimshawi strain TSC#15287-2541.00 scaffold_15252 genomic scaffold, whole genome shotgun sequence.